UCCGGUUUGGCACCGGCAGUCUCACUAGAGUUCCCGGCAUUACCCGCUGGUAACAGAACAUGAGGGUUGCGCUCGUUGCGGGACUUAACCCAACAUUUCACAACACGAGCUGACGACAGCCAUGCAGCACCUAACCGCAGGUUCUCCGAAGAGCACCCCCACUUUUCAGCAGGGUUCCUACGUUUUCUAGCCCAGGUAAGGUUCUUCGCGUUGCGUCGAAUUAAACCACAUGCUCCACCGCUUGUGCGGGCCCCCGUCAAUUCCUUUGAGUUUUAGCCUUGCGGCCGUACUUCCCAGGCGGGGUGCUUAAUGCGUUAGCUACGGCACCGCAGGGGUCAAAGCCCGCGACACCUAGCACCCAUCGUUUACGGCGUGGACUAC
rnacentral:misc_RNA from 1 species